UUUAAUUUCGUGCCAAUAGAACAAACUCAACAACUGAACAAAGUUMGCUUGCACUAGCUAGCAGUCUGGCGAGCUAGCCCUACCUGGCUACUGGCUGUAYUCAUACUAGCUAGUGUAAGUAAGUUAGUCCCUUCACACGCUACAAGAUGAAUGCCCAGACAGAGUUACCUGCUGAAGAAAGCCUGUUUGAGGGACAACUGGACAGAAUGCUUGGACUUCAUCUGAGACCUUCAUCUCCUUCCCCAUCCUUCAAGGAAAGCUUUUCUUUACAUUUCCUGUUAGGCAUGAUGCAGCUUCCGGGUGUGCUGGGAUAAGGACCAGAGCUACAGCAAUCGGGCUGGCUUUGUAGUGCCUGUCCCGAAUGGCUCGUUUAUGGGAAUGGGCGUAUUUGAAGACACCAUGUCAGUAGUGACGGGAUUUUUUAAACGUGUUAUAUUGUAUCAUUAGAAAUGGAUUGCAAAGGUGCAAUGUAUCUAAUUCAUGAUAUGUUUAGCUGAGUGAAAAUUUAGGCUUGGAUGUUGGUAUUUGCUUAAUUAAUUAAAGUGUUUGGUAUGUUCUGAUGGGAGGGGCUUCCCCUACAAAAGGAUCCUCUCUUUCAGUUCAAAGGGGGAUUAUUUUGAUUGAGCUGUUGAUGGGGCAGCAUUGUUUUUAGCUAUCCCAUAAUGUAUACUUUUGUUGGCAGUACUGUUUUCCCCCCCCAGAAUCACUAUGUAAAUAAACACCCUUGCACAGA